rnacentral:rRNA from 1 species
UUGGGAAUUUUGGGCAAUGGGCGAAAGCCUGACCCAGCGACACCGCGUGGGGGACGAAGGCCUUCGGGUUGUAAACCCCUGUCAGGAGGGAAGAAGCCGAAAGGUGACGGUACCUCCAGAGGAAGCCCCGGCUAACUACGUGCCAGCAGCCGCGGUAAGACGUAGGGGGCGAGCGUUGUCCGGAAUUACUGGGCGUAAAGCGCGUGCAGGCGGUCUGCUAAGUCCUGUGUGAAAGCCUCCGGCUCAACCGGAGGACGUCGCAGGAUACUGGUGGGCUUGAGGGCGGUAGAGGGCGAUGGAAUUCCCGGUGUAGCGGUGAAAUGCGUAGAUAUCGGGAGGAACGCCAGUGGCGAAGGCGGUCGCCUGGGCCGUCCCUGACGCUGAGACGCGAAGCUGGGGGAGCGAACGGGAGUUAGAUACCCGGUACGUCCCAGCUGUAAACGAUGCUCACUAGGUGUUGGGGGUUACUCCCGUCAGUGCCGCAGC